CGUGGUUAUCGAGAAAGGGAGGCUUCUUUCUAAGGUUUACCUUUUUCUUUCUAUUAAUGAAACCCAAGAAGAGAUAUUAUGUUCAUGUGCAUUAUUGUUUUGCAAUCCACAGGUGAAGUUUUCUAGUGGUGGUAUAUGCAAUUUGACAAAUGGGCAUCUCACAUAUACGAUUGUUAGGUUUGUUCACACAGAAAGUUUCAAACUUUAUGCUUGAAAACUGCAGAAUCAUGAAGUUUUCUCUGUAAUCAUGUGUGAAGAAUAUUGUGUCUAACGGUUGUGCUAAUUUAAUAUCAAAUUAUAUUUCUUUUACACACAUGGACCUACCAUGUCAUGGUUUUCUGAGCAUGAAGUGCCACUUAAGGUGUUGUGAAUCUCCACCAAUAUAAUCUUAGGUGAUGUUUGUGUUAUUACGCAUUUUCACCUGAUUCUAGCAUCCAACAGGUUGGUUCUGGGAUGCAUCAACAUAUUGUGGUGAUUCGAACACCACAGCAGUAAUCUCGUGAGACUGUACUCUCCACAAAUUACCGUCCAUAAAUUAUCUUCCACAUAGAUACAUGUUCAAACAAAUCACUGUCGUACAAAUUACCAUCCACAUGGUUGUUAAGGGUAUAAUCUAUAUAACGGUUAUCAUGUCAAAUUUCUUUACAGUUUCAAAUUUGUAAAAGUGGAAGUACAGCAUCAUACAUAUUAUUUGCAUUUUUUUAUUCAUAUGUCCACAAAUUACUCGUCGCUCACAAGUCGAUCCAUAAUUCCUCGUCCAUAACUUGUCAUCCACAAUUCGUCGUCCACGACUCGUCAAUGCCCAUAAAGGUAAAUUUUUCAAAAACACGCCUAGACCCCACCAGAAAAUGCCUCACAUGUGGAAAGUGAUUCUCGUUGUAAAAGAAAGACAAAAAGUGUCCUUAGGUGUAAUAAACUCAACCCAAAAUCAGUACAAUCAAACUUACACAUUUUAUUUAAACAACAUAGCAAUCCAAUGGCGUCAAGUUUUAGUGGUGCCCAUAAAACUUCUCAGAAUAAACCGGUGUCCAAGACCUCUAUUUUCGAAGUUUUAAUUAGUAAACUGUACAUUGUCCUCAACAUUAUUUAAAGUUCACUAUUUUUGCAAAGAUCUUUCUUCUCAUUUGUUGGACUCAAAUCGCCGAUGUAACUGAAAAUAACCCAAAGUUCUAAUUGUUCUCUAAGAAUGCUAAGAACUAGUUUGAGAGAGAUCAAGUCUAAUCUAACAUAAAAAUAUAUCAUAUUCACUAAGAACAAGUCACAACAGUCAUUAAGUAUCACUAGCAUCAAUUUCCGUUGGUUAAUCUAAAUUUAAGGUUUAGAUUUGAGAUUUGAUUUUGGGAGUGAGAUUAAGGAUUUAGAAAAUAUUAUUAUUUAAAAUUAUAAAAAUUUACAAUUGGUUUCAAUCAGAAUUUUGGGCUUUCGAAAUAAAAUUUAGGAAAUUUUUUUUUUGAAAAAAGAAAAAAUCCAAAAAUCCAAAAAAAUUGAGUUAAACUUUUUAUAAGAUUUUUUACUAUUUAUUUAUAUUUUUUUUUUAUUUAUAUAUAUCUAUAAAGUAAGGUAUCAAGGUCUUUUAUUUUUGGGAAAAUUAGAAAAAAAGGGACACUUAGAAGUUGGGUUUGUCCCUCUAAGAUUUUAUCUAGAUUUUUUGUUCUAUUAGAAUUUUAAUUACUGUUAAUACCAUUAUGCCCUUAGAUUUUCCAAAAUUAAAUUAAUUUAAAAUAUAACAUAUUCCUAUUUGUUUUUAAUACAAUUUCGUUAAGUUAAAAAAAAAAAACUAAAACCGAAAAAGGUGAAUACAUCGGCUAAACCUAAAUUCUUUUUGUUCCUUUCUAUUUCUUCUCUACGGAUCCUCUUCUCCUCUUCGCGUUCUUCUUCUUCUUCCUCACAUGGUUAAGUGUUCAUCUCUGUUCUUUGUUCUCAAAUCUCUAUGUUUUCUUCUCUGUUUCUUCAGCCUUGUUUUCGCUCUUCACUGUCUUCUCUCGUUGGUUCAAUUCUACACUUCGUUACUGUUUCAUCAUAAUCCUACGAUUCCUCACAUAGGGUAUGUGUUAAUUUGAUUUUAAAACCUAAUUUUUAAAAACUUAAUUUUUAUGAUUUGAUUUGUUUCUCUUUUUGUCGCUUUUCUCUCUUUCGUCUUCCUCCUUGUAUAUCAGUUUCAAGAAGUAUUGUUCUUUUCGAUUUUGACUUCUUGUUAAUUUUGUGUUUUUAUAAGUUUUGAUUGGUUUGUUUAUUUAUAUGGUUGUGAGAAAGAGAAGCUGAGAUCAUGUAGAGAGAAGAUUUCUAAAUGGCAAAGUCAAAUAUCACCCCUCUUGGUGGGUGAUACUAUAGCCCUCAGUGCAAGACACAAAAUUGCAGCAAGCGAGUACUACUCUGGACUGAGAGGGUCAAGGGAACCAAAUGAGGUUCAAGCAACAAUAAUUGGAGUUGUGAAGCUAUUAGUUUCUCUUUCAUUUUCCUUCAUUCAGAUUCUCAUGGUUCAUGGCUCAUGAUGAAAUUCUGGAUCAUUUUAUAAACGUUCUGGUUUCAAAUCAAAAGUUUUAGAGCUUGUAACAGUUUCAUUAUGCUCUGUAAUUAUUUCUUUAUCGAAUGAUUUUAAUGGCUUGAGGCUGUUUAUGAAGAGUCCUUGAUCUUGUUACUGGAAAAUACAAAUAGAGGUAAAACCUCAGCAAUACAAAUUUUUUUCUAUCAAAGUUUCACCUA